rnacentral:tRNA from 1 species
UCCCUAGUGGCUCAGAGGGUAAAGCAUCUGCCUGCAAUGCAGGAGAUCCGGGUUCGAAGAUCCCCUGGAGAA